rnacentral:rRNA from 1 species
GACGAACGCUGGCGGCGUGCUUAACACAUGCAAGUCGAACGAAGAGCGAUGGAAGCUUGCUUCUAUCAAUCUUAGUGGCGAACGGGUGAGUAACGCGUAAUCAACCUGCCCUUCAGAGGGGGACAACAGUUGGAAACGACUGCUAAUACCGCAUACGAUCUAAUCUCGGCAUCGAGGAUAGAUGAAAGGUGGCCUCUACAUGUAAGCUAUCACUGAAGGAGGGGAUUGCGUCUGAUUAGCUAGUUGGAGGGGUAACGGCCCACCAAGGCGAUGAUCAGUAGCCGGUCUGAGAGGAUGAACGGCCACAUUGGGACUGAGACACGGCCCAGACUCCUACGGGAGGCAGCAGUGGGGAAUCUUCCGCAAUGGACGAAAGUCUGACGGAGCAACGCCGCGUGAGUGAUGACGGCCUUCGGGUUGUAAAGCUCUGUUAAUUGGGACGAAAGGCCUUCUUGCGAAUAGUGAGAAGGAUUGACGGUACCGGAAUAGAAAGCCACGGCUAACUACGUG